rnacentral:tRNA from 3 species
UGGGGAGUGGUGAAAUGGUAUCACAAUGGACUUUGGAUCCAUUUUUCUAGGUUCGAAUCCUAGCUCCCCAGCCA